rnacentral:rRNA from 1 species
AGCUAAUACCGCAUAACGUCGCAAGACCAAAGAGGGGGACCUUCGGGCCUCUUGCCAUCAGAUGUGCCCAGAUGGGAUUAGCUAGUAGGUGGGGUAACGGCUGACCUAGGCGACGAUCCCUAGCUGGUCUGAGAGGAUGACCAGCCACACUGGAACUGAGACACGGUCCAGACUCCUACGGGAGGCAGCAGUGGGGAAUAUUGCACAAUGGGCGCAAGCCUGAUGCAGCCAUGCCGCGUGUAUGAAGAAGGCCUUCGGGUUGUAAAGUACUUUCAGCGGGGAGGAAGGUGUUGUGGUUAAUAACCGCAGCAAUUGACGUAACCCGCAGAAGAAGCACCGGCUAACUCCGUGCCAGCAGCCGCCGUAAUACGGACGGUGCAAGCGUUAAUCGGAAUUACUGGGCGUAAAGCGCACGCAGGCGGUCUGUCAAGUCGGAUGUGAAAUCCCCGGGCUCAACCUGGGAACUGCAUUCGAAACUGGCAGGCUGGAGUCUCGUAGAGGGAGGUAGAAUUCCAGGUGUAGCGGUGAAAUGCGUAGAGAUCUGGAGGAAUACCGGUGGCGAAGGCGGCCUCCUGGACGAAGACUGACGCUCAGGUGCGUAAGCGUGGGGAGCAAACAGGAUUAGAUACCCUGGUAGUCCACGCUGUAAUCGAUGUCGAUUUGGAGGUUGUGCCCUUGAGGCGUGGCUUCCGGAGCUAACGCGUUAAAUCGACCGCCUGGGGAGUACGGCCGCAAGGUUAAAACUCAAAUGAAUUGACGGGGGCCCGCACAAGCGGUGGAGCAUGUGGUUUAAUUCGAUGCAACGCGAAGAACCUUACCUGGUCUUGACAUCCACAGAACUUGGCAGAGAUGCCUUGGUGCCUUCGGGAACUGU